rnacentral:lncRNA from 10 species
GCAGUCUUAAACUCCUGGGCUCAAGUGAUCUUCCUGCCUCAGCCUCCCCAGUAGAUGGAACGACACAACAUGCGACCACACUGGCUAAUCUUAAAAUUUUUCUUUUAUAGAGAUGGAAGAGUUGCACUAUGUUGACCAGGCUGGUUUUGAACCCUUGGCCUCAAGCGAUCCUUCCUCUUCGGCCUCCCAAAGUGUUGGAUUUACAGAUGUGAGCCGCCCUGCCCAGACAGCAAAACUUUAUUUAAACUACUAAUUCAAAGAAUAUGAGACACCUGCUCAAAGUCACAGAGAGGUUAAACAACUUGCCUGAGAUAACGAAGUAAGUAAUGGAGAGUGGUUGAAAAUCUGGCCUGCCUGAUUCUAAAAGCUAUGUUUUCUCCACUGUUCAAUCAAGCAGGUAAAGUAUUUUCGAUAUUAGUUUUCAUGCUAUUAUUUCAGAACCAUGUCUGUUGAAGACAAUGCUUCUUUUCCAGUGUGGCAACAUAUUUUCUCAUGUACAGUAAAGUAGUAUGUCAGGUAACAAAAGAGGAGUAAAUUAAAAAGCUAAAUUGGAAAUUAUAGAUAUUAUGAAUUUUCAGUUGAAAACUAUAAAGUGAUUUUAGUCCAUCAACCAUUAAUAAGAUAAAACCAUACCAAAGACAUUA